UAUAGAAUUGGUGCAAGAGUAUUGAAAUGAUGCAGGACAUGAUCUCUAAUCUUGUCGUUCUUUAUGCUUAAUGCUCACUUUUUAACAGGACAUGAUGCAAGAGUAUAGAAAUAGAUCAUGGGAUGAAACCUGCAAAUUAACGGCAUAUAACACAUACUAUCUGACAUUGUUGACAUCUUAUCAUAUAACACAUACUGCAUCAAGGUAUCAAGAGAGGGAAAUGUGUGUCGGCACAUGUUUGGUAGCAUAUUGACACGAGAAGGGCUACUUGAAAAAUAUUAGUGCUGAUAUUAGGGCAGUUUUGUGCAAAGAAAUGCACAGGCUUUGUAAUGCUUGGUCCCAGCCUUUGGGACGUGUGGAAUUCAAUGGGGUAGGCGAUGUCUGCGAAUAUGGAUGCCUGCAUUGCCGUAGAGAGCAUAUCAAUUCUUGAGAAGCUCCAUUCUAAAGGUGAGGAUGGAAGUUUCAAUUGUGGGUAUUCAAGCAUUAGAGGUAGAAGAAGACCAGGCAGGGAAGACUUCUAUGACAUCAAAUCAAAUCAUCAACAUUUUAUGAUAAACAAAUAAACUUGUUUACGUUUGAAAUUUACCCGUUUGAAAUUAUUUACAUUUUAAA